UACGAAGGGGGCUAGCGUUGUUCGGAAUCACUGGGCGUAAAGCGCACGUAGGCGGAUUGUUAAGUCGGGGGUGAAAUCCUGAGGCUCAACCUCAGAACUGCCUCCGAUACUGGCAAUCUCGAGUUCGGAAGAGGUUGGUGGAACAGCUAGUGUAGAAGUGAAAUUCGUAGAUAUUAGCUAGAACACCAGUGGCGAAGGCGGCCAACUGGUCCGACACUGACGCUGAGGUGCGAAAGCGUGGGGAGCAAACAGG
rnacentral:rRNA from 1 species